UCCUACGGGGGGCAGCAGUGGGGAAUAUUGCGCAACGGGCGAAAGCCUGACGCAGCGACGCCGCGUGAGGGAUGAAGGUCUUCGGAUCGUAAACCUCUGUCAGCAGGGAAGAACGGUCACUGUGCUAAUCAGCAGUGAAUUGACGGUACCUGCAAAGGAAGCACCGGCUAACUCCGUACCAGCAGCCGCGGUAAUACGGAGGGUGCGAGCGUUAAUCGGAAUUACUGGGCGUAAAGCGCUCGUAGGCGGUAUGUCAAGUCAAGGGUGAAAUCCCCGCGCUCAACGCGGGAACUGCCUUUGAAACU
rnacentral:rRNA from 1 species